AAUGGAGGAAACUCUGAUGCAGCAACGCCGCGUGGAGGACGAAGGUUUUCGGAUUGUAAACUCCUGUCUUUUGGGACGAUAAUGACGGUACCAAAAGAGGAAGCCACGGCUAACUACGUGCCAGCAGCCGCGGUAAUACGUAGGGGGCUAGCGUUAUCCGGAAUUACUGGGCGUAAAGGGUGCGUAGGUGGUUUCUUAAGUCAGAGGUGAAAGGCUACGGCUCAACCGUAGUAAGCCUUUGAAACUGGGAAACUUGAGUGCAGGAGAGGAGAGUGGAAUUCCUAGUGUAGCGGUGAAAUGCGUAGAUAUUAGGAGGAACACCAGUUGCGAAGGCGGCUCUCUGGACUGUAACUGACACUGAGGCACGAAAGCGUGGGGAGCAAA
rnacentral:rRNA from 1 species